AAUCCGUUCGUGGAAGGAGAGCCUUCGCCACUUCUCUCCUCUUCUGUGCUGCUCGAACCCGUUCUCCCAAUCUAGGGUUCCAGAGAUCGCGAGGAAGAACCGAAGAAGAGUAGUAGUUAGGUAAAGAGGAAGGAAUGAACCGGAAGCUUAGAAACCGAAGGAAGCCUACGAAGCGGCGAAGGAGAAGGGGUUUCGCCCAGGUCGUGGUGGAUUAUCCCGCGUCCGAUUGCUACAUUUACGCUGCUGUCCUCGACCCGCUGCCCCCUGAUUCGUUGCCUUCGUCUGCUGCCCCCUCUCCUUCCUCCAGAGAUCGUAGCUAUUGUCAUAACAAACAUAAUGGACUGCCCUGCGAGAUUCGGUAUGAAAUCGACGGAAUGAGAAAAGUGAGGUAUUAAUCUACUUUUCGGAGUUAUCAGAGGAAUUCAAGAUGCAGUGUGCUGAGAUGGUAAGAUUGCUUCUUUACGGUGUACAGACAAAGGGAUAUCUGUAGUGCAUUUGCAGUGGCUAAUUUCAAAAUGACACUGCAGGCGCCUGCUACUGAUGAUGAGCACUGGUGAGUAUAUAUUUCUUACUAAUGGUUACUUGGUGAGAUUCUGUUGUAUCAUCUGGUCUUGUUUGUGUUUGUGCCCUUCUUGUUGCUGUAUCUGCAAACCAAAUACUAAACUUUAUUUGUAAACUUUAUCAUUGUGCUGUAUGUAGACAAUACUCUUUUUAUGCCUAUACUAGCAUGUGAAUCAGUGGUGGUUAUUUAGGAUUGGUGUUCUUGUUUCAUUGACAUCUAUGAUCAUUUAGAUUGAUGAAUUUGUUGAAUGCUGUUUUGCUAACUUGACUAUAAUUCUGAUAUAUUUACUUGAUCGAUAAUUGCUUUAUAUAUGGAUUGGCAAGGGUAAUAUUCAUUGUGUGUAAAAGAAAAUGUUUGUUAAUUUAAGAUUUUAUCUUUCUGAUAUGGACUAUUAGGCUAGUAGCUGAUAAUAAAUAAGUCUUUAUAAAUAACAGGUGACAAGCACCAAUUCUGGUUAACAAUAAUUUAUUGGUGUAGAUGUUAUGAAAAUUUACAGAAAUUGAAAUUCUUGGGUCAAUUCUAUUGGAUAAAGUUACUAGAUAGAAGGUUUUAUCGGUGAUAGAUUUAAGCAUGGAUCAAAAUUUUUUUGUUACAAGGAAGUCAGAUUGGGUGAUUUAAGCCAGAUUUGGAUCCUCACUUUUCCUUAUCUAAUUGCACACCGAAUAGGUACGAAUUUCAUCCUAGUUGCAAUUUUAGCUGAUGAAAUUAUGGGGCACCACUCUGACUUUGACUGAGAUGGAUUUGUAUAGAAGUAGAGAGGGUGAGGCGAGUUUGGCUAUGGAGAGCACUGUUUAUCUCAAAAUCACAAGUGAGCAAUUACAACAAUGCUGACAGUAAGAAUGGUAGUAAUACUCUUUGAAAUUCCAUUUAAAAAUGUGCUUAAUUGAUUUCUCAUGCUAUUUCACUAUGAUUUUGUUCACAAGGUUUCAAUUCUGCAUUAAGAGAGGGUGAUGGUGGCAGCCUUUCAAUUUUCUAUAUAUCUGGGAAGACUAUGAAAAUUAUUACAGCUCUUUCAUUAUGUUUGAAUCAUUCCUAAUAUUUUGAGCAUUGUAAGUGGUAACCAAACAAUCAUUUUCUCGUUGUACUGUAAUGUACUCGGAUCCUGUCGAGUCUUCUUUUCUCCAAUUUUUAGUAGUCUCUGACCUGAUGCUUUACUGAAUAUGAGUAUGUAGGAAAAUUUCAUCAAUUUUCCAGUGUGUGCCUUUCUCAUGUGCAAAGCCCAUUAGUCCUUCUGCCGACUUGGACAUGUGAACUCACUACAAUGUUGGACUGUUUAAGCUUUUGGAACAAGUGGACAACCAACCAUUAUGUCUUCACUCUGAAGAGCACAUACACUUGAUGCAGUAAGAACUUUUUUAAUCCUAAUAACAUCAUCUUAGUAAGACAUGCUUGGCUGAGUUUGAGUCUUGCAUGGUUUUUAAAUGGAACAAAAAUGCAAGGAACUUAACAAAAAUGGAGAUAAAAUGGAAAUUAACCAUUAUAGAAACUUAAGAAGGUUUUGAAGUUGGUCCUCCGAAAUAGCAUUAUCAUGGACUUUUUUAACAUAUGCUUUAUAUUUGGAAUAGGUGAUUUUUAUGUGUGGUUCUCAAUUGUGACCACUGCAAUAUCUAGUUGGUUUUGAAAGUUCAAAUUCCAUUUUUUAGUAUCAGUAAUAUAAACUUCCACAGAUGUUAGUUUUCACUAUCAUUCUCUAUUACACUUCAUCAAGAACACUUGAUAAAAUACUCCACAUGAUUGCAUAUAUUUUAACCAAUGACAAGAAUGUUUAUGCUGAGUAAAAAAAGAUUAAAAUGAGAAAACUAAGGAGAAAAAAAGUAAUGGAAGGAAGAUUUCCUCUUUUUGCUUCUAUGUUUGUCAACUAUGAGGUAUGAACAUCGAUACGAGACACAAACAUGGUAUGAUUUUUAUACAUUUCACACCAAAUGAUAGAAGUUGGAUGUAGCCUAAAAGGGAUCCAGUGAUUAAUAAAUAUAUUUUCCCCAUAUGUUAUUUAUUUUUUUAUGCUUUAUAUAAUAUAUAUGAUCUAUGAUUAUCAUAUACAAAAAUUAUGAUAAAUAUGGCAACAAUUUAUGUGGCUAGCAAAUGUUAACAAAUUCUAAAACAUAUACAAAAAAAUAAGGAGCAAAUCAAAUCCAAAUUACAUAUAUUGACAAUAUCCAACAUGUCUAAAGCCUUAUAAAAGAUGAUAUAAGCAUCCUACAUAUACAUGAUACAUUUAUAUAAAUGAGUGUUGAUGGUAUGAGAAUUUUAGCAGGAUUUGAAAUAGUUAACAUAUAUAUGAUCUAUGAUUAUCAUAUACGAAAAUUAUGAUAAGUAUGGCAACAAUUUAUGUGGCUAGCAAAUGUUAACAAAUUCUAAAACAUAUACAAAAAAAUAAGGAGCAAAUCAAAUCCAAAUUACAUAUAUUGACAAUAUCCAACAUGUCUAAAGCCUUAUAAAAGAUGAUAUAAGCAUCCUACAUAUACAUGAUACAUUUAUAUAAAUAAGUGUUGAUGGUAUGAGAAUUUUAGCAGGAUUUGAAAUAGUUGACAUGUGUCAAAAAAAGUAUUAAUUGAGUGGCAAGUGCAACCUGGACAUGACAUCGACACAAGUAAUAUGAAGUUCCUGUGGUUCUUUAGUAUUUAAAAAUAGAAUAUUGGAAAGAAGAAAAUAAGAGACUCUGAUCUGAUCUAUCACAUUCCUGUCCUCUCAACAUCUACCUGCUAAUAUGUCCUGACAGUAAAGAUAGCUAACUUCUUGUGAUCUCCUCUUUUGGACCUUGUCAUGCACAUCAUAUUGAGUUACUUAGUAUAAUUGCAUGUCUUACAUCCACCGAUGAUGUUUAUUUGACAGUGAGUGAGGAGGAGAAGAGAACUGAUUUUUGCGUUUCUCCUUUCUUUUUCUUACAAGAUACAAUUAAGCUCUUUUGUUCUUUUGAUUGCUAUUUAUCCUUCUAAUAGUUCCUCAUCAUACACUAUAUCAUUUUGUCAAGAAAUCUAAUGAUAGAACUUGACUGCAACAACUUUGUAAGUUUUAGGAACUAAUUGUUACAAAUUGGAAAGUUGGAAUUUGACAUGAAUUUUUUAUGACUUUUGAGUUACUUUUUGUUGAUGAGGACUUCAUGUGAUGAGCUCAUAGAUGGGGAAAGUUACAUGUGCUUUUACUUCCGUAGGAGAUGUCUUUAUUUCUGGUUGUGGGAAGAUUGGUUUAGUAUUACCUGUCUAUUUAAUAGUCAAGUACUUCUAGUUUCAUUUGUUGGUUCAAUGGACACUCCACAUGCAAGCACAUGGUGUAUUAGGCCCACCACCACAAUCUACCAAUUUAUACCAGAUAAACUUUGAUAUCUGUGGUGUUAGUAUCCAGUUUCAUGAUCUGUGAUUGUUCAUGUGACUGUGAUUGCAUGAAAUAAGCUGUGCUGUGGGCUAUGAUAAACAAACCUAGAAAGGUUUUCUUUUGGAACAUAGGAAAACUAGUGGAAAGUGAAAAUUAAGUCAAGCUGUUUCUUUCUGCUUGAGGGAGUUCAUCCUCUUUUCUCCUUACAUGUAAUGGUGGCAAAGUUAGAUUGGCAAGAUCCGAGAAACAUGGGUGACAAGAUGUCGAACUGUUCCUUCUAUCACUAUCAUGUGGUUUUGAGAGAAAGGAAUAUAGUGUAGAUGGUACUUGAAAUGACCCAAUUAAUCUUUGGAGCAGGGACAAGAGGAUCCUUAACCUAUGCCUUACCAUUGUCAUUGCCAUAUUCUCCUUCUCAUGUUUUCGUCUUUAACCAUCAGAGUAAUAAGCAUUUCUUGUGCUGUGGAUGCACCCUUGUCUAGCUAUACGUUACAGUAUCAGAUUUUAUUUGAAUACUGCUGUCCUUCCCCACGUAUUGUAUUCUUAUAUUAUUGCAGAUAAGUCUAAUAAGGAACAUUGCCUCACUGAAGAUUUCUAUGGCAGAUGAAGAGAAACAUGGCCACCGAAGCAAAGGAUUCAAUGAUCAUUCUCCUACAAUAACAGGUUGAAUCAUUUCACAAUGAUAACCCAAGAGGACAUGAUGGAUUUGCUGAAACUCACAGGAAGAAACACAACAUAAUGGGUAGGACAUACAGAAGAGUACAAAAACUCACUUUCCAGCUAACAUGGGGGUGGUUGUUUUGCAGAUGAAAGAGAACCCAUUGUCACACACCAUGGUGGCUCAGUAUCUUCUUGAGAACAGUGGCCUUCAGCUUCAGAAAUGAAAUAUAGUCAGCAGUCCUCUGAAGCAAUGCCUGCAACCCAACACUCCUGCAACCAGGCACAACCUUCUUUAGCUUCCUAAGCUUCCUGAGCUCCAGAUGCUGCAGGGGCUUCCUCUCUCUCAGGGACACCAUUCCUCUACUUCCCCUUCUUGCACGAGGUGAAGCCCUUCUCAUCGCUGAGGACCUGAUCAUGCAGAGGACAGUGAUGAGAGGAAGGGAAGGCAGGGAGGAGGGUAUAAAUAGAGGCUGCAACUGGCCAUGCAAGUGACAGUGGUGAGGGAUGAGGAAAGGCAGGAGGUAAAACAGACAUGGGGCGAGGUUAUCUCACUCUGGCUGCAUGUGGAUAGAAUUAUUGGCUUCUCUCUCAUGCAAAGCCAAUCAAGUCAAGCAAUAGUACCACAGGAAGACACUCCUCACCUCCUGAGUUGACAUAUAUGAGUUUUCAGUGUGCCAAGGAAGGACAAGGCACAGUCUUCUUGUUACUGAUAAACGAGGGUCCAAGCAGGUGAUACAGGAAGACAUUGAUGCAGAGUCAUUGUUUGUUGGACCCCAAGAACAAGCUUGAGUUUGUUAUCUUUCUAUGUCAUUUCCAUGUCUUAGGUUGCUCACCUUGUUUGGACCUAAUUUAGCGCGAUUACCCGACAAUAAUUUAGGGUUGAGCAUGUCAAACUUGGAUUUAGUCUAGCAUAGCUUUUCUUCAUCAGAUUAUGAGAUAUCCCUCUCAUGGCUGACAUAUGAUGCUAGAACUACAAUCAUUGAUCAAAGAUUUGACCACAUGAUCAUGGAUGCUCUGGUGGAUGCUAAGGUGUCGUGUAUGUAAUUUAUUUCAUUAGAGGCAAAGAUGUCAGUUAACUUAGUCAGUAAAUGAUUACUAAAAUCUAUUACAUGUUUGAGAUCAUCAUUCAUGAAGAAGAGGAAGUUUUUA